GGUGGGUUGGCUCAGUGGUUAGAGCUGAGAUCUCGUAACCCAAAGGUCACGGGAUCGAAUCCCGCGAGAGGCUG
rnacentral:tRNA from 1 species